GGGCCCGUAGCUCAAUUGGCAGAGCACUAAGAUGGCAUCUUAGGGGUUGUCGGUUCAAGUCCGAUCGGGUCCA
rnacentral:tRNA from 1 species